ensembl:snRNA U6 U6 spliceosomal RNA
UUGCUUAGGCAGCACAUAUACUAAAAUUGGAAUGACACAAAGACUAGCAUGGUCCCUGAGCAAGAAUGACAUGCAAAUUUGUGAAGUGUUCCAUAUAGAA